CUAAAACCCCUUUUUUUUGCCAUCUAUUUUGUUACUGAAUUUAAAGUCUGUUGUUGACCUACCACGAAAUCAGGAAUUAUAAACGGGGAUAUUGAUUUCUACACAGUAUUUUAUGGUUUCUCCACCAUCAAAAGUUUAUUAUGGGUGGGUUAAUCAAAGAAGUAUUAUGGAUCUUACAACUUAGAAAUCAUUCAUCUCACAUUCUCACAUGAUCUGCUUCUAGACUAUUAUAAGUUCAAGAGAGGACGAUGGUAAGUAGGGUGCUUUUAAUCUAUCCAAAUAAGAUAUCUUUCAAAGUUUGGCAAUCAGGCCUGAACUCAUACAAGCGCAUUCCUAAAGUGUACCCAGCAGUAUUAUGUUAAUUGGACAAAAGAAAUCACGUACAAAGGCUAGGGACCAUACAACCUAUAAAUCCUUCAUCUAAUCAUCUCACAUGGUCCGCAUGUAUUCUUCAUUAUUAUAUGUUCAAGAGAUAAUGAUGUGUAAGUUGAAUUUUUUAAUCUCUCUAUUUCUUGUAUGUAAUAUUGAAUGUAUUCAUUACAUUAAUAACAAUGUUGUUUCUUGUAUGUUAUGUAUUAGUUAAUUAAUAAUAAUGAUAAUGAUGUUCAUGUUUA